AUGGGUGGUUUGCAGCCAAGUCUGAAGUGGCGUGAGGUCUGAAGUCCUGGUCCUCGUACACCAAAAGGCUGGAUUGUACACUCGGGUUAGAAAUUAGUUACAAAAGGAGGAGUUCAAGUAUCUUGGGAUCCUGUUCACAAAGAAUGAGUGAGGAGUGAAAGAUGGACUGGAUCAGCAUCUGCAGUGAUGCAGAGCCGAGUGAGAAGAACGGUACAGCGUCCGCAUCACUGCAGCUGCUGCACCAAUCCGUCUGUCGAUCCCCCGCUCCCUUCUCCCAUCACUCGUGAACAAGACGCGGAGAUACUUAAACUCCUCCACUUGGGGCAGGGUCUCGUCCCUGACCCGGAGUGGGGACUCCAUCCUUUUCUGCCUGAGGACCAUGGCUUCAGAUUUGGAGAGCACCUUUGGGAUGUGCUGGAACAGGAGAGUCACAUCAUGGGUGUGCAGUCAACAAAUCGGGAACAACUGUGUGACGCUAUCAUGCCUUUUCCUGAAUUCUUUUCAAGCAUCAGACGCUCAGGAUGAUGUCCCUGGCUCCGCUCGUGUAACAAAACAAAAUGAAAUACUUAUUAUUGAUGGAAAAAAAACUACUUGGUGAACAAAGUUUGUUGUGCUAGGAGUUUACAAGAGUACAGCAGUUCAUCAGAGAUAUUCUAACAGUCCCCCCCCCCUUUUUUUUUUUGUUUUCUGUCUUAUAACAAGUUUUUGCAAGUAAUUUUUCUGCCCAUUCAUCAUGCAAUGAUCCAAACCAGGUGGAGGAAAUUUCUGCUAUUCCCACAACAAUGGAUUGUGAAACCUUUAAGUGAACUGCGACAAACAUUACCUUGAAUCCUGAAACCAAUUAUGUGCUGUUUGUAGCAAAAUCCUUAUAUGCAUUCUUGCAGGAAAUAUACAAAAUAAAAUCAUGACUG